CUGCUCAACAAUCUGGGAAGGGUUCAAGAAAUGUAAAGACCCGAGUGAAUUUGUUUUUGGUUGAAACAUUUUUGUUUUUCAUUCAGACUCCAUAGUUUAAGUACUGUCAACAAUGUCUUCCAAUAAAACAUCAUAAUCAGGUCAGAUUUUCAAAAAUGUUUUAACAUAAACAUGGUGGACCUCCCUAAUGUGAACUACAUGAAGCUCCAAACUGGGCCGAGACCAGAACAAUGAUCAACACAUCUACACCAGAAUGCCUGAAAGAGACAGAAAUCAAGACAACGCAGUGGCCUAGUCAAAGUCCACACAAAAUCUCUGCAAUGAACUGAAGAAAAGUCCUGAUUCAUUUGGCAGCGUAGCCGUGAUGUAAGCUGCCGCUUUAAAGAGAGAGGAGGACAUGAUGGGAAUGGAAAAAGACAGAACAUGCAUGAGUGACUGCAUGUUUCAAACAAAUCAGCUUUGGCACAAACAAAACACGAGAUCCUUCCUCAGCAGCCUGAGCAGACGCACCGGAAUGGGCUGAAAUGUGAGCUCACAACU